UGCCUCCUCCCACAUCGUUGAUAAGAGAGAUUUGUACAACUCCUCCUGUGUGCCAGGCCCUGGUCAAAGCUGAUGGUCUCCUCUCCCUCACAGACUGCCUCUAAGCUCUUCAGAUUCAUGAAUUUUAACAAGUCCAUGAGCCAGCUCUCAACCAUGUCAUGAUGUGCCAAAAAAACCUGAUGUUCUUCACUGUUUCCUUGGCAUAUGCCCAGUUGGCAUUCAGUUGGAUGACUUAGGUACCUUCCAGGUAUAUGUAAGUAUUUUCAGAUCAUAAAGGAAAAAAAUUAAUGCUCCUGCCUUCUCAAUAAUGUUUGUUAGUUAUCCACCUUGUGUUAAAAAUAUGAGUAAAUGACCUAUUUCACAAACCCACCCAAGAAAUUAAGAAAAAUGUGAAUUACUGAUGCUUAGGAAAGCAUUACUCAUGAACCAGGCAUGGUGGAGUGAGCUGAUAGCACCAGUACUAAGAAGUGGAGACAGGAGGAUAGGAGUUUGAAGUCACCUCCUUCUGUAUAGCAGGUUCAGCUCUCAGUAGUGAGAGGUAAUGAAGCAGCUGUAAGAACACAAGUACUGUUGAAAUGACCAACAUCUUCUGAACAUUGAGUGCAGC
ensembl:lincRNA D930016D06Rik RIKEN cDNA D930016D06 gene